UACGUAGGCAGCAAGCGUUGUUCGGAAUUACUGGGCGUAAAGCGCGUGUAGGCUGCUCUGCAAGUCGGAUGUGAAAGCCCUGGGCUCAACCUAGGAAGUGCAUUCGAAACUGCAGAGCUGGAGUCCUGGAGAGGAAGGCGGAAUUCUCGGUGUAGAGGUGAAAUUCGUAGAUAUCGAGAGGAACACCGGUGGCGAAGGCGGCCUUCUGGACAGUGACUGACGCUGAGACGCGAAAGCGUGGGGAGCAAACAGG
rnacentral:rRNA from 1 species